UACGGAGGAUGCAAGCGUUAUCCGGAAUGAUUGGGCGUAAAGCGUCCGCAGGUGGCAAUGUAAGUCUGCUGUUAAAGAGUCUAGCUCAACUAGAUACAAGCAGUGGAAACUACAUAGCUAGAGUACGUUCGGGGCAGAGGGAAUUCCUGGUGUAGCGGUGAAAUGCGUAGAGAUCAGGAAGAACACCGGUGGCGAAAGCGCUCUGCUGGACCUUAACUGACACUGAGGGACGAAAGCUAGGGGAGCGAAUGGG
rnacentral:rRNA from 1 species